GAUGAACGCUGGCGGCGUGCCUGAUACAUGCAAGUCGAGCGAACAGAUGAGGAGCUUGCUCCUCUGACGUUAGCGGCGGACGGGUGAGUAACACGUGGAUAAUCUACCUAUAAGACUGGGAUAACUUCGGGAAACCGGAGCUAAUACCGGAUAAUAUAUUGAACCGCAUGGUUCAAUAGUGAAAGACGGUUUUGCUGUCACUUAUAGAUGGAUCCGCGCCGCAUUAGCUAGUUGGUAAGGUAACGGCUUACCAAGGCAACGAUGCGUAGCCGACCUGAGAGGGUGAUCUGCCACACUGGAACUGAGACACGGUCCAGACUCCUACGGGAGGCAGCAGUAGGGAAUCUUCCGCAAUGGGCGAAAUCCUGACGGAGCAACGCCGCGUGAGUGAUGAAGGUCUUCUGAUCGUAAAACUCUGUUAUUAGGGAAGAACAAAUGUGUAAGUAACUAUGCACGUCUUGACGGUACCUAAUCAGAAAGCCACGGCUAACUACGUG
rnacentral:rRNA from 1 species